UGGGGAAUAUUGCACAAUGGGCGCAAGCCUGAUGCAGCCAUGCCGCGUGUAUGAAGAAGGCCUUCGGGUUGUAAAGUACUUUCAGUCGGGAGGAAGGUGGUAAGGUUAAUAACCUUAUUAAUUGACGUUACCGACAGAAGAAGCACCGGCUAACUCCGUGCCAGCAGCCGCGGUAAUACGUAGGUGGCAAGCGUUGUCCGGAUUUAUUGGGCGUAAAGCGAGCGCAGGCGGUUUGUUAAGUCAGAUGUGAAAUCCCCGGGCUCAACCUGGGAACUGCAUCUGAUACUGGCAAGCUUGAGUCUCGUAGAGGGGGGUAGAAUUCCAGGUGUAGCGGUGAAAUGCGUAGAGAUCUGGAGGAAUACCGGUGGCGAAGGCGGCCCCCUGGACGAAGACUGACGCUCAGGUGCGAAAGCGUGGGGAGCAAACAGG
rnacentral:rRNA from 1 species